GGAUAACCUACCCUUAGGACCGGGAUAACCCUGGGAAACUGGGGAUAAUACUGGAUAGGCAAUUUUUCCUGCAAUGGUUCUUUGUUUAAAUGUUUUUUUCGCCUAAGGAUGGGUCUGCGGCCGAUUAGGUAGUUGGUUAGGUAACGGCUUACCAAGCCGUUGAUCGGUACGGGUUGUGAGAGCAAGAGCCCGGAGAUGGAACCUGAGACAAGGUUCCAGGCCCUACGGGGUGCAGCAGGCGCGAAACCUCCGCAAUGUGAGAAAUCGCGACGGGGGGAUCCCAAGUGCCAUUCUUAACGGGAUGGCUUUUCAUUAGUGUAAAGAGCUUUUGGAAUAAGAGCUGGGCAAGACCGGUGCCAGCCGCCGCGGUAACACCGGCAGCUCUAGUGGUAGCAAUUUUUAUUGGGCCUAAAGCGUCCGUAGCCGGUUUAAUUAGUCUCUGGUGAAAUCCUGCAGCUUAACUGUGGGAAUUGCUGGAGAUACUAUUAGACUUGAGAUCGGGAGAGGUUAGAGGUACUCCCAGGGUAGAGGUGAAAUUCUGUAAUCCUGGGAGGACCGCCUGUUGCGAAGGCGUCUAACUGGAACGAUUCUGACGGUGAGGGACGAAAGUUAGGGGCGCGAACCGGAUUAGAUACCCGGGUAGUCCUAACUGUAAACGAUGCGGACUUGGUGUUGGGGUGGCUUUGAGCUGCUCCAGUGCCGAAAGGGAAGCUGUUAAGUCCGCCGCCUGGGAAG
rnacentral:rRNA from 1 species